rnacentral:rRNA from 1 species
UUCUCCUACGGGAGGCAGCAGUGGGGAAUAUUGGACAAUGGGCGGAAGCCUGAUCCAGCCAUGCCGCGUGUGUGAAGAAGGCCUUUUGGUUGUAAAGCACUUUAAGCGAGGAGGAGGCUACUAGUACUAAUACUACUGGAUAGUGGACGUUACUCGCAGAAUAAGCACCGGCUAACUCUGUGCCAGCAGCCGCGGUAAUACAGAGGGUGCGAGCGUUAAUCGGAUUUACUGGGCGUAAAGCGUGCGUAGGCGGCUUUUUAAGUCGGAUGUGAAAUCCCCGAGCUUAACUUGGGAAUUGCAUUCGAUACUGGGAAGCUAGAGUAUGGGAGAGGAUGGUAGAAUUCCAGGUGUAGCGGUGAAAUGCGUAGAGAUCUGGAGGAAUACCGAUGGCGAAGGCAGCCAUCUGGCCUAAUACUGACGCUGAGGUACGAAAGCAUGGGGAGCAAACAGGAUUAGAUACCCUGGUAGUCCAUGCCGUAAACGAUGUCUACUAGCCGUUGGGGCCUUUGAGGCUUUAGUGGCGCAGCUAACGCGAUAAGUAGACCGCCUG